rnacentral:rRNA from 1 species
UGGGGAAUAUUGGACAAUGGGGGGAACCCUGAUCCAGCCAUGCCGCGUGUGUGAAGAAGGCCUUAUGGUUGUAAAGCACUUUAAGCGAGGAGGAGGGUACUGGUAUUAAUACUACCAGGUACUGGACGUUACUCGCAGAAUAAGCACCGGCUAACUCUGUGCCAGCAGCCGCGGUAAUACAGAGGGUGCAAGCGUUAAUCGGAAUUACUGGGCGUAAAGCGCGCGUAGGUGGUUCGUUAAGUUGAAUGUGAAAGCCCCGGGCUCAACCUGGGAAAUGCAUCCAAAACUGGCGAGCUAGAGUAGGGCAGAGGGUGGUGGAAUUUCCUGUGUAGCGGUGAAAUGCGUAGAUAUAGGAAGGAACACCAGUGGCGAAGGCGACCACCUGGGCUCAUACUGACACUGAGGUGCGAAAGCGUGGGGAGCAAACAGG